UUUUUAUUUGAAAAUAAAUGAAUAUGCAUCAGUAAAUAAAGUAACGUAAUCUGCGGACCUCGUCAGGUAUUUUUUAUUUUGUAUUAUUUUAAAAGUUUUGGAUGUAUCGCGGGCUGGAUAGAAUGACUCAACGGGCCGGAUCCGGCCCGGGGGCCUUAUCUUGCCCAGGUCUGCUUUAGACCAUACUUAACAUCUGGCAUGGACCUCAGUAGACAUUUAAGCUCAUAGUUUGCGGCCCGCUUCUUGGCAAUCUCAGGCGGAAAGUCCAGGAAGACGAACACAGUUUUGUCUCUAAACUUAAGCUGCCCACCACGGCUCGCUUUUUGCCAAAUAUCCUCCUUGACGACGUAUCGAUGGAAGCAAAUUACGAAGGCUCGCGGUCAGCUACCCUCCGCAGGUUUCGGUCCAAGUGUACGAUGUGCGCGAGCAAGGAGUGGAGGUUCAGAAAGAUCAAAUAUCUCCGCAAAGCAUCUGCCACGAACUUCGUAGGUUGUGGGCCUUCCAAACCUUCCGGAAUUCCCACCAAGCGAAGAUUGGAUCUGCCGGGAACGACACUCUAAAUCGAUGCACUUAGCUUACAGUGAGGCGACCUCUAUCUGGAGAGAAACGACCGUUGGCUCGAGAGAGUGAAAACUUGUCGUCCAUUCUGAGGUCGCUGUCUCCAGACCAGCAAUUCCUGAACUGAUGGGUUGUAGUCUGGGGACAAGAAGCCGGCUACAACCCACGCAAAGACCCCCAACGCCCCGUCCAGGAAACGCUUUUCUGUGGACCAGACCACAUUCCUACUUCUCCACAAGAAUUAACCAGUGGACCGAAGCCACUGUGGAUCCUGUGUUUCUGCCGAGCCAGCAGAGAAGAACAUUCCAGAGGGGCAACAUGGAGUCAAAGUGCUGAGGCAAGCUGAUGCUUCAUACUCUCAUAACACAUAUAAAUACACACUGUCACAACCACACAAACAACUUAAAACACAAACAAGAAUUCAUAAAACACAAACAAAAAUUCUCAGCUUUGUUUAUAUGUCAUUAUUCAGUAGCACUGCGAUGGGAAGAGGCUUCAGUUUAUAGGUAAAGGGGUGUGUACACGUUUGAUAGAGAUGGGCAUACUAGAUUCUACAGAUUAGAACGUUAAACCGGACUGGCACUCCAGAUGUACAUCAUGUACAUGUAUGAGUAGUAUUGCUUUACAUUUGAAAAUCUGGAAUAUUUAUAUAGAAAAUAUCCAAAACAAUAAAAACAGUUCACUUGUAAUUUUUACGAAACCACUUACUUCCCUACAAGCUACCCUCCCACCCAAGACCUGACCAUUUGGCACGAUAAUUAUAUUACUUUAUAUGUUGUUGUUUUUGUAAAUUUUUUCAUGUAAUUUGUAGACAUUUGAAUAGGAACCAUCACUCUCACAUUUAGUGUAACAUGUUUUUGUACAUAUAGGUACUGUAUAGGACAUAACAAUCAUCAUUUAAAAACAUUUCUUGUGAAAUAUCUUUUUUUUUCUUAUUAUUUUUUUCUUUUUCUACAUUUCUGAUAUGUAAAUUAAAUAAUUU
ensembl:lncRNA